rnacentral:rRNA from 1 species
CAAGUCUGCUUUUGACAGCUUGAGUGCUCUUUUCUGAUUCACUGGACGGUGGUGCAUGGCCAUUCUUAGUUGGUGGAGUGAUUUGUCUCCUUAAUUGCCAGAAUGGACAAAAUUCUAGCCUAUUAAAUAGGCGCUUGGCCCUUUGCACUUUGCUCCGUUCUUUAGAGAAACAAGCGGCUUCUAGCUGCACGAAACUGAGCAAUGACGGGUUCGUGACGCCCUUAGACGUCCUG